GACGAAGGAUGCAAGUGUUAUCCGGAAUCACUGGGCGUAAAGCGUCUGUAGGUGGUCAAAUAAGUCAACUGUUAAAUCUUGAGGCUCAACCUCAAAAUCGCAGUCGAAACUAUUCGACUAGAGUAUAGUAGGGGUAAAGGGAAUUUCCAGUGGAGCGGUGAAAUGCGUAGAGAUUGGAAAGAACACCGAUGGCGAAGGCACUUUACUGGGCUAUUACUAACACUGAGAGACGAAAGCUAGGGUAGCAAAUGGG
rnacentral:rRNA from 1 species